rnacentral:rRNA from 1 species
AUGCAAGCAGAAUUGAAUGAUUGUCUCGAGAAAAACCGAAUAAGCGUUUCAAUGGAACUUGUCACGGCUGUAUUAGGAGACCAUGGGCAAAGGCCUAAGGAUGAUUAUGCUGUGAUUACAGCUGUGACAGAAUUGGGUGAUGGCAAGCCUCAAUUCUAUUCUACUCCAAAGUUGAUUGAAUUUUGUCGGAAAUGGCGCCUACCAACAAACCAUGUCUGGCUAUUCUCCACGAGGAAAUCCGCCACUUCAUUCUUUGCUGCCUAUGAUGCAUUAUGUGAAGAGGGAACUGCCACACCAAUUUGUAAUGUCCUUGGUGAAAUAGCUGACAUAUCUGUGCGAGGGUCAAAGGAUCAUGUAAUGGUGCAAGGUGAGAUACUUGAAGGUCUGGUUGCCCGUAUUGUUAGUCGUGAAAGUUUAGUUCAAAUGGAAGGUUUGAGGAACUGUCGACAACCUUCAUUAGAUGGAGGCGACUCUGAUUUAGGACCAAGUUUAUGA